GACGAAUGCUGGCUGCGUGCUUAACACAUGCAAGUCGAACGGUGAAGGAGAGCUUGCUCUCCGGAUCAGUGGCGAACGGGUGAGUAACACGUGGGCAACCUGCCCCUCACUCUGGGAUAACGCCGGGAAACCGGCGCUAAUACCGGAUACGACCAGGCGCGACAUCUCGCCUGGUGGAAAGAAUUUCGGUGAGGGAUGGGCCCGCGGCCUAUCAGCUUGUUGGUGGGGUAACGGCACACCAAGGCGACGACGGGUAGCCGGCCUGAGAGGGCAACCGGCCACACUGGGACUGAGACACGGCACAGACUCCUACGGGAGGCAGCAGUGGGGAAUAUUGCGCAAUGGGCGAAAGCCUGACGCAGCGACGCAGCGUGAGGGACGACGGCCUUCGGGUUGUAAACCUCUUUCAGCGGGGACGAAGCGAAAGUGACGGUACCCGCAGAAGAAGCACCGGCUAACUACGUGCCAGCCGCCGCGGUAAGAC
rnacentral:rRNA from 1 species